UUCUUUUUUAGCUCACUGAAACAAAAACUCUCAAAAGAAAAGAACAACAAAAAAUUCACCUGAAGAGAAAAAGAAACGAAAAGAAACGAAAAACCAAUUGCCGUAGAGAUCACCGGAAGAAGUUCAGCGAUGCAACGUGGAAGUGGCGGUGCCGGUGGCGUAGGUGGUGGAUUAUCCCGAUACCGUUCAGCUCCGGCAACAUGGUUAGAGGCACUUCUCGAAUCCGAUACUGAAAACGAAGUGGUUCUUAACCCUUCUUCUCCCAUUUUACACUCCCCCAACAAACCACCACCCCACCCAUCAACUACUCAGCAGCAGCUUCCGGAGCUUGUUAAACCGGAAACUAGGUUCACCGGCGAUCCGGGUCUGUUUGAAUCCGGCGGUAGUAGUAAUUUUCUCCGGCAGCAGAGUUCGCCGGCGGAGUUUCUUUCACAUAUUAACUCAGAUGGUUACUUCUCAAGCUAUGGAAUUCCCUCCAGUUUGAGCUAUAUUUCUCAGCCCAUUAAGCGGCCCAGAGAAGAUGAUUCCGAAAGUUCGCCCAGAAAAUUAUCUAACCACUUGAAGGGAGAGCCAAGUGGACAGUUACAUGGUUCUGGUGGAUCACUAGAUGCUGAAAUGGAGAAGCUCAUGGACGAUUUGGUGCCUUGUAAGGUUCGAGCAAAGCGUGGUUGUGCUACCCAUCCUCGCAGCAUAGCCGAGCGAGUUCGUCGAACGCGCAUAAGUGACAGAAUAAGGAAGCUUCAGGAACUGGUGCCAAAUAUGGACAAGCAAACCAACACCGCUGACAUGUUGGAAGAAGCAGUCGAAUAUGUCAAGUUUCUGCAGAAACAGAUUCAGGAGCUUAUGGAGCAUCAGAAGAAAUGCACGUGUUCAGAGAAAGAUCAAUAAUUUGAAGAAGAGAGUUCCACUAGAGUAUAUAGGCAAUAGUCUGCUCAGAUGCAUGCGCUUUAGACAUGGUAAAUCAUUUGUCCAUGUACGAGCAUAUGUUUUUGAAGCAACUGGCCUGUGUAGAUAGGAAAGAAGUUCAUUGCAGGUCUGCUGAUUAGAGUAUUUGGAUAGGGGAGCAAUCUUUCUAAUAUGAGUUGCAUAUGUAAAAGUAAAUUAGUAGGUUAACGGAUAUCUGCUGGAAACAGCAGCUCUGCAUACAUCAAGUUUUCUUGGGAAGCUACGAAUAGCUGAAGAAAUUAUGAUGUUGUAAUAUGUAUAUUAUCCUUCUGUGCUGUGGAGAGAAGGCAACAUCAACAUAUAGAUGCUCAUAUUACGUAAGUUACAAAUAGUGUAUUGCAGGGACCAAUUGCCAGCUA